rnacentral:rRNA from 1 species
CACGUAGGGCGCGAGCGUUGUCCGGAAUUAUUGGGCGUAAAGAGCUCGUAGGCGGCCUGUUGCGUCCGCUGUGAAAGCCCGGGGCUUAACCCCGGGUCGGCAGUGGAUACGGGCAGGCUAGAGGUAGGUAGGGGAGAAUGGAAUUCCCGGUGUAGCGGUGAAAUGCGCAGAUAUCAGGAGGAACACCGGUGGCGAAGGCGGGUCUCUGGGCCGAUACUGACGCUGUGGAGCGAAAGCGUGGGGAGCGAACAGG